rnacentral:rRNA from 1 species
AUACGUAGGGUGCAAGCGUUAAUCGGAAUUACUGGGCGUAAAGCGUGCGCUGGCGGUUUUGUAAGACAGAGGUGAAAUCCCCGGGCUCAACCUGGGAACUGCCUUUGUGACUGCAAGGCUUGAGUACGGCAGAGGGGGAUGGAAUUCCGCGUGUAGCAGUGAAAUGCGUAGAUAUGCGGAGGAACACCGAUGGCGAAGGCAAUCCCCUGGGCCUGUACUGACGCUCAUGCACGAAAGCGGGGGGAGCAAACAGGAAUAGAUACCCUGGUAGUCCACGCCCUAAACGAUGUCAACUGGUUGUGGGGAAUUUAUUUUCUCAGUAACGAAGCUAACGCGUGAAGUUGACCGCCUGGGGAGUACGGCCGCAAGGUUAAAACUCAAAUGAAUUGACGGGG